AUUGAACGCUGGCGGUAGGCCUAACACAUGCAAGUCGAACGCGAAAGUCCUUCGGGAUGAGUAGAGUGGCGGACGGGUGAGUAACGCGUAGGAAUCUAUCCUGUAGUGGGGGAUAACGUUUCGAAAGGAACGCUAAUACCGCAUACGCCCCACGGGGGAAACCGGGGGAUCUUCGGACCUCGUGCUAUAGGAGAAGCCUGCGUCGGAUUAGCUAGUUGGUGAGGUAAAGGCUCACCAAGGCGACGAUCCGUAGCUGGUCUGAGAGGAUGAUCAGCCACGCCGGAACUGAGACACGGUCCGGACUCCUACGGGAGGCAGCAGUGGGGAAUAUUGCGCAAUGGGCGAAAGCCUGACGCAGCCAUACCGCGUGUGUGAAGAAGGCCUUCGGGUUGUAAAGCACUUUCAGUGGGGAGGAAAAGCUGGUGGCUAAUAUCCAUCGGCCGUGACGCUACCCACAGAAGAAGCACCGGCUAAUUCCGUGCCAGCCGCCGCAGUAAAAC
rnacentral:rRNA from 1 species